CCCCUGGUGGUCUAGCGGCUAAGGAUCCCACGCUCUCACCGCCACAGCCCGGGCUCAAUACCCGGGCAGGGAA